rnacentral:rRNA from 1 species
UACGUAGGGGGCAAGCGUUAUCCGGAUUUACUGGGUGUAAAGGGGGCGCAGACGGCGAUGCAAGCCAGGAGUGAAAGCCUGGGGCCCAACCCCGGGACUGCUCUUGGAACUGCGUGGCUGGAGUGCAGGAGGGGCAGGCGGAAUUCCUGGUGUAGCGGUGAAAUGCGUAGAUAUACGGAGGAACACCGGUGGCGAAGGCGGAUUGCUGGACAGUAACUGACGCUGAGGCGCGAAAGCGUGGGGAGCAAACAGG